GCCGCCUUAGCUCAAUCGGCAGAGCAAUUCAUUCGUAAUGAAUAGGUUUCGAGUUCAACUCUCGAAGGCGGCU
rnacentral:tRNA from 1 species